rnacentral:lncRNA from 1 species
AUGCAUCAACCUCUGGAGAUAAAAGACAUCAGAAGCCUUCAUAGAAAUGUUGUUAAGUAUCUUAGAUCUGCCCUCUCAAUGGCUUCCAAAUAUAGGCCCAAAAGUAUUGUAGGCCUAUCACAUCAAAGGCUUAUGGACCAGUACUACAGAAAUGGAAGCCUACAACUUUUAUGCACUUUGAGACUGGGAAAAACCAUGAACAAAAGUAAAAGUUCCAAUCAAAGUGAAAGUGGAGUCUUCUGGAGUAGCCAACAACAGUGAGCUAGAACUCCCAGAAUUAAUGUAGGUUACAAAUAAGAAUGUAUUCAAGCCCCCUGCUAUGUGCAAAGACAAGAAGGGACUUCUUGAUUAACAUUAAUACUAUAAUGGCACAGCUCUAUCUGGAGAGAAGGGGCCAAUGGGCAGAGACCAUUUCCACUCAGUUCAUGGUGAUUCCAACAAAUACAGUACCUUUUCCACUUUUUCAACUGUACAACAGGAGGGUCACCAUUUAAGAUUAAUACUGUACUCAUGGAUAGGUUCCCCAACUUCAUAUUAAGGAAAGCAAUAAGAUAUUACUUUUCUUUCAGAGGCCUCAAAAUCAGAUUUCUUGGGGGGGAUACUCAGGAGUCUGAUAUAGUCUGAAAGACUACAAAUGAGUCAUUUCUUUAUGUUUGUGUUCUCAUUACUGCUAUCCUGAGAGUUAAACUUUUAAAAAUUUUCUCUUCACUGUUUCUUGACCACUAAAAUUGCCAUGGAUCCCCUAUACCAAGUGCAUAUAACUGGUCAUUGCUGCCCAGCUGUAUCUUUUCUCAGGACUCAAUUUACCAUCCUUCCCCCUUCUAGAGUGCAAGGAGAAAGCAAUCCAGAUACUUAAAAUCCUGGUGAGAAACCAUGAAGGUGUUUCUUCACUAUGGGGGAGGAUCCUCACAUGCCCCUGUACCAGUUUGCCAAAUGCCAAAGAAGACUCAUCAUUACAAAGAAAGAUGUAACUAACUACAGGGGUGGGGUAGGUAUGAAGAAAAAGUCUCAAAUUGAUAAGGUUCAGAAAAAUGGUUAGAAGAUGGAUUAAAAAAACUACCCCUAUAAGCAGCAUAAUGGGGCAUAUCAAGAAAAAUCCAAUUUGGUAAAAUAUCUCAGGAUUCAGGGCAAUGAAUACGCUUCAACUUGGCUCUCCUGCAUUUUGAAUUCAGAAUUUGGUGAGAUUCCCCCAGCAGCUAGUGUAGGAAGAAGGGUUGCUGAAUGAAUAGCUGACAUGACCCAGCUUACAAUGAUCCCAGGC